rnacentral:rRNA from 1 species
CGGGACGGGGUGGAGUAAUGUCUGGGAAACUGCCUGAUGGAGGGGGAUAACUACUGGAAACGGUAGCUAAUACCGCAUAACGUCGCAAGACCAAAGAGGGGGACCUUAGGGCCUCUUGCCAUCGGAUGUGCCCAGAUGGGAUUAGCUAGUAGGUGGGGUAACGGCUCACCUAGGCGACGAUCCCUAGCUGGUCUGAGAGGAUGACCAGCCACACUGGAACUGAGACACGGUCCAG